rnacentral:rRNA from 1 species
GGCCGCGGGAAUUAGAUUCAGGCCUAUCGCAUGCAAGUCGAGGGGCAACAAUAUUUUAGCCUGCUAAAAUAGUUGGCGACCGGAGCACGGGUGAGUACCACGUAUGCAACUUACCUCCUACAGGGGGAUAGCCCGUUGAAAAACGGAUUAAUACCGCAUAAUUCAGGGAUUCCGCAUGGAAAUAUUUGUUAAAGAGAUAUCGGUAGUAGAUGGGCAUGCGUUUCAUUAGCUAGUUGGCGAGGUAAUAGCUCACCAAGGCACCCACUGAAUAGGGGAACUGAGAGGUUUAUCCCCCACACUGGUACUGAGACACGGACCAGACUCCUACGGGAGGCAGCAGUGAGGAAUAUUGGUCAAUGGACGCAAGUCUGAUCCAAGCAAGUCGCGUGAAGGAU